rnacentral:rRNA from 1 species
UACGUAGGUGGCAAGCGUUGUCCGGAUUUACUGGGCGUAAAGAGCGCGCAGGCGGUCGUUCAAGUCGCGUGUGAAAGCCCCCGGCUCAACUGGGGAGGGUCACGCGAUACUGAUCGACUGGAAGGCAGGAGAGGGUAGUGGAAUUCCCGGUGUAGUGGUGAAAUGCGUAGAUAUCGGGAGGAACACCAGUGGCGAAGGCGACUACCUGGCCUGUUCUUGACACUGAGGCGCGAAAGCUAGGGGAGCAAACGGG